rnacentral:rRNA from 1 species
AGAGUUUGAUCAUGGCUCAGAUUGAACGCUGGCGGCAGGCCUAACACAUGCAAGUCGAGCGGAAACGAGUUAUCUGAACCUUCGGGGAACGAUAACGGCGUCGAGCGGCGGACGGGUGAGUAAUGCCUAGGAAAUUGCCCUGAUGUGGGGGAUAACCAUUGGAAACGAUGGCUAAUACCGCAUGAUGCCUACGGGCCAAAGAGGGGGACCUUCGGGCCUCUCGCGUCAGGAUAUGCCUAGGUGGGAUUAGCUAGUUGGUGAGGUAAGGGCUCACCAAGGCGACGAUCCCUAGCUGGUCUGAGAGGAUGAUCAGCCACACUGGAACUGAGACACGGUCCAGACUCCUACGGGAGGCAGCAGUGGGGAAUAUUGCACAAUGGGCGCAAGCCUGAUGCAGCCAUGCCGCGUGUGUGAAGAAGGCCUUCGGGUUGUAAAGCACUUUCAGUCGUGAGGAAGGUAGUGUAGUUAAUAGCUGCAUUAUUUGACGUUAGCGACAGAAGAAGCACCGGCUAACUCCGUGCCAGCAGCCGCGGUAAUACGGAGGGUGCGAGCGUUAAUCGGAAUUACUGGGCGUAAAGCGCAUGCAGGUGGUUUGUUAAGUCAGAUGUGAAAGCCCGGGGCUCAACCUCGGAAUAGCAUUUGAAACUGGCAGACUAGAGUACUGUAGAGGGGGGUAGAAUUUCAGGUGUAGCGGUGAAAUGCGUAGAGAUCUGAAGGAAUACCGGUGGCGAAGGCGGCCCCCUGGACAGAUACUGACACUCAGAUGCGAAAGCGUGGGGAGCAAACAGGAUUAGAUACCCUGGUAGUCCACGCCGUAAACGAUGUCUACUUGGAGGUUGUGGCCUUGAGCCGUGGCUUUCGGAGCUAACGCGUUAAGUAGACCGCCUGGGGAGUACGGUCGCAAGAUUAAAACUCAAAUGAAUUGACGGGGGCCCGCACAAGCGGUGGAGCAUGUGGUUUAAUUCGAUGCAACGCGAAGAACCUUACCUACUCUUGACAUCCAGAGAACUUUCCAGAGAUGGAUUGGUGCCUUCGGGAACUCUGAGACAGGUGCUGCAUGGCUGUCGUCAGCUCGUGUUGUGAAAUGUUGGGUUAAGUCCCGCAACGAGCGCAACCCUUAUCCUUGUUUGCCAGCGAGUAAUGUCGGGAACUCCAGGGAGACUGCCGGUGAUAAACCGGAGGAAGGUGGGGACGACGUCAAGUCAUCAUGGCCCUUACGAGUAGGGCUACACACGUGCUACAAUGGCGCAUACAGAGGGCGGCCAACUUGCGAAAGUGAGCGAAUCCCAAAAAGUGCGUCGUAGUCCGGAUUGGAGUCUGCAACUCGACUCCAUGAAGUCGGAAUCGCUAGUAAUCGUGGAUCAGAAUGCCACGGUGAAUACGUUCCCGGGCCUUGUACACACCGCCCGUCACACCAUGGGAGUGGGCUGCAAAAGAAGUAGGUAGUUUAACCUUCGGGGGGACGCUUACCACUUUGUGGUUCAUGACCGGGGUGAAGUCGUAACAAGGUAACC